AGAGGAGGAAAAGAAAAAAGUUAAACCAACUCUAUCUAAACUCCUUGCAAAUCUCUAAAUAUAUUUUCUUCUGCUUAUUGGUUCUACUUUCAAAAAUCCCAUUCUGCUUUCUACGUUACAAUAAUACUCUCUUCUUGCCAUUAAUAUUGUGUUCAGUGAAAUGCUAAUAUUUUUCAGUUCACUGUCAGAGAGAACUAAAUCUACAGCAAGCUAAUCUGCCAUAAAGUCAUGUUUUAUACACAUGACUACAAAUUGAGUUUUACACUCCAUGGAAAGCAAUCUUCCAUCUUUAAGGGUAUCAUGAGACACAGAAUUAGAUCUAUUCUUCUGGCAUUACUAAAUCAUAAGACGAAAUAUAAUUUGACGUGCAAAUGAUAUUGUAAACCCAAGGCAAUGAAGCACUGAGAAUGUUUUUAGUACUAAACUUACUUGUUUGCUUAGUAUUAAGAGUCUUUUCAAGAAAAUUAGUCUCUAUUUAUAAUGGAAACAGCAUUACAUAAACUUUUUUUCCAUAACACAGGUCCUAGUCUAGAGAUUGAGAGCCUGUAUGAAUUUAUUUCUAAAUUAGGCAUCUGAGUUUAAACAUGUGUUUCUCAUCUUUUAAGUUCCGGAGAUGUGAGCCCUGGGAGUCUGUCACAACUACAACUUCUAUUUCAGAUAUUCAGAGUAACAUUUUCUGAAUCUGGAUGUCAUUUAGAGCUGCUUUCACUUGUCAAGAUUCCAAACAACUUAAAAAUAAACCAGCUAAUAUGUUUUUCUGCUUACACUGGGAACAGGUUUUUGGUCACUUGAUCUCACCGAAGCAAGCACAGGAGUAUUUUCAAAGUGCUUAUGGAGAUGCUUUCUUGGGUAAAAGGAGAUACCAUUGGAAGGAAGGAUUGUUAAGUGCUGCCUCCUCACAAUACAAGAUGUUAUCUUGGAAGAUAGAAAUGAUCCCUCCAGCAUUGCUCUGGCCACUUAUUUACUUGUAUUUAUAGUCCCAUCUUAGCAAGGCCUGGAGGGGGACCAGUUUCUCCUUGUAACCCUUUUUGUGCUUGAAUUCAAAAUGUCUUAAUACAGUGCUGUCCUCUCUCUUUCCAUCAACAGCUAAAGAGAUGCAAAGAUGUCCUGAUAUUCAUAUUCUGGCCUUGCUUAACUCUAUUCUUUGCCAGUUUAAACCCAUUAAUCCCAGUUUAAACCAGAAGGGUCACUAUCCCCUUUUGUACCACUAUAUUAGCAUAACAAAAAAAGAAAAGAAAGGGCUUUCUAAUGCCUUUUCAAGAUGCAAAAAGACAACAGCAUCAGAGUCAUGCCAUUCAAGCAAAACAAAUGUUGUCCUUCAGGACUUAUGUUGUCCAGGGUUGCUAUGAACCCUCUUGGUGUUUAUUCCUUUUCAACCCAGAUGGGGGGCAAGUUACACCAGGGCCACCUUCUACUCUACUGUGUUGACCUUCCUGCAUGUCACUGUUCUCUUCCGUACUUCCAGAAGAAGCAUCCACACUUGGAGCGUGUCUAUGGGGAAAGUGGCACGGUCCACUUUCACAGUGGAGAAGACUCCUUGCUCAGAGGCAGUCACGACACCCUGGGGAUAUCUACAGCAUUUGGAACACACAAGUAGUCAGGAUCAUGAUUCCACUGCGAGACAUAACCUAAGUUUCACAGAUGGGAAAAUUAAGGCACUAACGCUCAGGCUGAUUUCACUGAGCUACAGAAGCCUCGGUGGUUCAACAGGCUAAAGAAGAAAAAUUCCUAGAAAAUGUCUGCCUACUACUGAAGGAGGAAAAAGCAAAACCCCACUUGUGGGCAAUCCAAAGAGCAAGACAGUAUUGUGAAGUGCUGCAGAGUCUUUAAAGGGCAGUCGAAGAUUCAGAGCAAGAGCUUUGAGCCUGGUGCACACAGCUACUGAAACACAGAACGGAAGGGGAAACAGUCCUGGCUUGCUCAAACCUGCAGCACUACAAAGCUGGCUGGAAGCAUUAGUAAGUUUUGAUGUUUUGGGAUGCUUUUCUGUUAUUUUGUUUUUCUGUCUUUAAGUAUCAAAUACUACCUACACCCGCAGGCUAUGCUCAGCUUGAAUGCAA